ensembl:snRNA U6 U6 spliceosomal RNA
UUCAGUGCUUGUUUUGAUAUACUAAAAAUUGGAGAUGACACGGAGAAGAUUGGCAUGGUCCCUGAGCCAGGAUAACACGCAAAUUCGUUAAGUGUUCCAUAUUUGU